CACCCCCCGCUCCCAGCCCCGCAGGAUUUGUUCGCAGCUUGUUCUGCCUGCGCGCCCAGCUCCGGCGCAGCAGUCAGGACACUGUCCAGGUGCCCGGGACAGGGCUCCGCAGUGUCACGAGUCUGCCUUUCCAUCAGGCCAGAGCUUGUGCUAGGUUUCACCAGAGAAGACGCCGGAAGAGCAGAGCUGCGUUCUCCUCCGAUACCUCCCCUCCAAACAAGGCAUUGCUGCAGGACAGUGGUCUCUCUCUCCUGUAGUCAUCAGCUGCUAAGUGGAGGCACAUCACCCAGGGAAGUAAUUUAAAACAACACUCUUUGUUCAGCACGCAGUUGGCAGCAAGUGCCUGCUAGCCAUUCAUACAAGUGGUUUCUUUCUCUAUGCUCUGUUCCUUUCUCUUUCACACAACACACUUUCAGCCCCCUUCUCAGAUAUUCCCCCUGUACAGGUAAGGUAAAAAAAAUGGAUUCUGCAGAGUAGAUUUUUACUGCCGGGAGACUCAGGAGUUGUUUUUUCUCAAGCCACUGUAACAUGUCCCUUAAUCCCUACUUUUUAAAGCAUUUGCUUUAAAUUCUUUCAGAGACAGAGGCUUUUGCCUUUUGGGCUGACAUCUGACAACCCUCUCCAAGGCACAUUUCCACCCACUGACAGUCCGUGUCUGGAAAAAUGUUUUGGCUACAUUCAGAUCAAACCAGAAUUUUCAAAACCUGUGUUGAAAGAUACUGGUUUAGCAUGAGUAAGUUUUCUGCAGAAUGAGAUACAUAGUUAUAAUAUACAAUUUAGUAUGACGUUUGCUUAGCUUUACUUGCUCAGGAUGAGUAGCUGGAUUUGCUGAAGCCUCGGGCUGCAAACCAUAAACUUACACCUCCAUAGCUGAAAUUAGUUUUCCUAAUAAUUUUCCUAGUAGCUGGCACAUUGCUGUGUUUUGUCUUUAGUACAGGAAAAAUACUGAUAGCACACUGUUGUUUUCAUUGUUGAUAAAUGUGUUUAUCCUAACUCCUGGGCUUUUUUUGGUUCCCAUGCUGCUAGCAAGCAGGUGCAUCAGAAGAUAAGGAGACAACUGUCAGCAAAGCUGCAGCUUCAUAAGAACCAUCAACAGCCUUCCUGCACAGACACAGAGAAACACCUCAGUAGGGUGUUAAAGAUCCAGACCAAAAUAACCACUGGGCCAAGAGGCUUGAUGCAAGUUGCAUGCAGGACAGGCACUUAGUCUCAAAGGAAAACAAGACUUUGUGACGUACCAGAGACAGAGCAGACAAGUCAACUAAAAACUAGCUCUGGAAGAAGCUAAACCAUUCCCAUCUCUCUAAGAACUUGGUCUGCUGCUAGAUAAAGCUCCUUGCAGUCAAACAACAGUGUCCCUUUCCAUCAGCCGGCCUUCUACAGCAAUGCCUUCACCACACCAGGUGUGAUUCCUGAACCACCCCAAAGAAGGAUGCACCAGAGAUAUAGCAAUAAAAUUAAAAAAAAAAUAUAGCAGCCUGCUUUACCCUUGCUCCUUCUGCUGGUUGUCUCCAGUGAGCUUCCCAGCUUUCUUCCGAACGUAGGUUGCUCCAUGGGAGUUCUCCAGCGCAUCAACAUCUACUUUCAGUGACAUGGUGUCUGAGGAAGGCAAGUGUUUGCUAAGA